ACUACUUUAUGUGUCAUACUUUGUCACCGUGUGCGCUUAUGUGUACCUGUAUUGAUUUAUUUAUGUAGAUAUGGAUAAUUUAGUAAAUUAGAUUGUAAUUGCAGGUCGUUUGUACAACACCGCACACCCUAACGUUUGAUAUUAUAAUUUAUCGAAAUUGUUGUACAAACCUAUGGCUAUAGUGACUAUAGUUUCAAUAAAAACGCAUCGUAACAUGUUGUGGACAAAUCAGUAUCAUGUAAUAUAGCUAGGCUACGUCAUAUGUAUGCAAUACUUCAAAUCGUUCAAAACCUUCAAAGUUAAAAAAUAACUCUCGAAUAUCAAUAUUAAU